UCCCGGCUCAGAAUCAACGCUGGCGGCGCGCCUAACACAUGCAAGUCGAACGAGAAAGUGGAGCAAUCCAUGAGUACAGUGGCGUACGGGUGAGUAACACGUGGGUGAUCUACCUCUUAGUGAGGAAUAACCCUGGGAAACCGGGGCUAAUACCGCAUAAGCCUGAGAAGGGAAAGCAGCAAUGCGCUGAGAGAGGAGCCCGCGGCCGAUUAGCUAGUUGGUGAGGUAAGAGCCCACCAAGGCAGAGAUCGGUAGCCGGCCUGAGAGGGCACACGGCCACACUGGCACUGAAACACGGGCCAGACUCCUACGGGAGGCAGCAGUGGGGAAUCUUGCACAAUGGGGGAAACCCUGAUGCAGCGACGCCGCGUGAGCGAUGAAGCCCUUCGGGGUGUAAAGCUCUUUCGUCAGGGAAGAUUAUGACGGUACCUGGAGAAGCAGCUGCGGCUAACUACGUGCCAGCAGCCGCGGUAAUACGUAGGCAGCAAGCGUUGUUCGGAGUUACUGGGCGUAAAGGGUGUGUAGGCGGUUCUUUAAGUUUGGUGUGAAAUCUCCCGGCUCAACCGGGAGGGUGCGCCGAAUACUGAGGGACUAGAGUGUGGGAGAGGAAAGUGGAAUUCCUGGUGUAGCGGUGAAAUGCGUAGAUAUCAGGAGGAACACCGGUGGUGUAGACGGCUUUCUGGACCAUAACUGACGCUGAGACACGAAAGCGUGGGUAGCAAACAGGAUUAGAUACCCUGGUAGUCCACGCCCUAAACGAUGCAUAUUUGGUGUGGGUCAUUCAGUUGAUCCGUGCCGGAGCUAACGCGUUAAAUAUGCCGCCUGGGGAGUACAGUCGCAAGGCUGAAACUCAAAGGAAUUGACGGGGGCCCGC
rnacentral:rRNA from 1 species